CCAAAGUACAAGAAAUACUAUAAGUGUGUGCAAAUAUUAUAAUGUGUAGUAGUGAAAGAGAGAGUUGAAAUAAAAAAUUAUUAUAAGUCUACAAAUAUAUUCACAAUACAAAAUAGAGUAAAAUAUUAGUGAAAGAGAGAGUUGAGAUAAAGAAAAAUAUUCUAAGUCCCUAAAUAUAUUCACUAUACAACAAGAGUAAUUAUAUAUUGAAGGAAG
rnacentral:lncRNA from 1 species